UUUCGCAAUGCCCGAAAGGGUGACGAAGCGACGCCGCGUGGGUGAGGAAGGCCUUCGGGUUGUAAAGCCCUGUCAGGAGUUAUGAAAUGUAAGUGCGCUAAUAUCGUGCUUAUUUGACAAAGGCUCCAAAGGAAGCCACGGCUAACUCUGUGCCAGCAGCCGCGGUAAUACAGAGGUGGCGAGCGUUGUUCGGAAUUAUUGGGCGCAAAGAGCACGUAGGUGGGUUUGCAAGUCAGAUGUGAAAGCCUUCUGUUCAACGGAAGAAUUGCAUCUGAAACUGCUAAUCUUGAGUAUAGGAGGGGAGAAUGGAACUUCUGGUGGGGCGGUGAAAUGCGUAGAUAUCAGAAGGAACGCCGGCGGCGAAAGCGAUUCUCUGGCCUAUUACUGACACUCAGUGUGCGAAAGCUAGGGGAGCAAACGGGAUUAGAUACCCCGGUAGUCCUAGCCGUAAACGAUGGGCACUAAGUAGAGGGGUUUUA
rnacentral:rRNA from 1 species